AUACGGAGGAUCCGAGCGUUAUCCGGAUUUAUUGGGUUUAAAGGGUGCGCAGGCGGCCAUUUAAGUCAGCGGUUAAAUCGUGGGGCUCAACCCCAUUCUGCCGUUGAUACUGGGUGGCUUGAUUGCGGUCGAGGUUGGCGGAAUUCGUUGUGUAGCGGUGAAAUGCAUAGAUAUGACGAAGAACACCGAUUGCGUAGGCAGCUGACCAGACCGCAAAUGACGCUCAUGCACGAAAGUGCGGGGAUCGAACAGGAUUAGAUACCCUGGUAGUCCGCACAGUAAACGACGAAUACUUGUUUUCGGCGAUAUAAUGUCGGAGGCAAAGCGAAAGCGAUAAGUAUUCCACCUGGGGAGUACGCCGGCAACGGUGAAACUCAAAUGAAUUGGCGGGG
rnacentral:rRNA from 1 species